rnacentral:rRNA from 1 species
CCCUUAGAUGUUCUGGGCCGCACGCGCGCUACACUGAUCGAUUCAACGAGUUUUGAAAUAAAUUUUUGAUUUUUUCAUAUCCUUUGUCGGAAGGCAUGGGUAAUCUUUUAAAUGUCGAUCGUGAUGGGGCUAGAUUCUUGCAAUUAUUAAUCUCCAACGAGGAAUUCCUAGUAAACGCAAGUCAUCAGCUUGCAUUGAUUACGUCCCUGCCCUUUGUACACACCGCCCGUCGCACCUACCGAUUGAACGGUUUAGUGAGGGCCUCGGAUUGGUCUCGGCCCGCUCUUUACCGGGCGGCGCCGUUGGUCGAGAAGACGCUCGAACUUGAUCGUUUAGAGGAAGUAAAAGUCGUAACA